AAAGCUGGCAUCUUCGGUGUCCGCGUUGUAAUUUUGUGAGGCAUCUCCGGGUAGGGCGCCGGCCUAAGUUCCUUGGAACAGGACGUCACAGAGGGUGAGAAUCCCGUGCUUGGCUGGCUGUCCCCGUCCAUGUGAGGUGUCUUCGACGAGUCGAGUUGUUUGGGAAUGCAGCUCAAAAUGGGUGGUAAAUUUCAUCUAAAGCUAAAUAUUGGUGGGAGACCGAUAGCGCACAAGUAGAGUGAUCGAAAGAUGAAAAGCACUUUGAAAAUAGAGUUAAAAAGUACGUGAAAUUGUUGAAAGGGAAGCGCUUGAGACCAGACUUCGGUAGGGGGUGAUCAGCCGUGCUUCGGUGCGGUGCACUUGUUCCUCUCUGGGCCAGCAUCGGUUGAGGCGGCGGGAUAAAGGUCCCGGGAAUGUGGCUCCUUCACGGGAGUGUUAUAGCCCGGGUGAAUGCCGCCAGCUUCGACCGAGGACCGCGCCCGCAAGGGUUAGGAUGCUUGGCAUAAUGGUCUUCAGCGACCCGUCUUGAAACACGGGACC
rnacentral:rRNA from 1 species